rnacentral:rRNA from 1 species
GAUGAACGCUGGCGGCGUGCCUAAUACAUGCAAGUCGAGCGAACAGACGAGGAGCUUGCUCCUCUGACGUUAGCGGCGGACGGGUGAGUAACACGUGGAUCACCUACCUAUAAGACUGGGAUAACUUCGGGAAACCGGAGCUAAUACUGGAUAAUAUAUUGUACCGCAUGGUUCAAUAGUGAAAGACGGUUUUGGUGUCACUUAUAGAUGGAUCCGCGCCGCAUUAGCUAGUUGGUAAGGUAACGGCUUACCAAGGCGACGAUGCGUAGCCGACCUGAGAGGGUGAUCGGCCACACUGGAACUGAGACACGGUCCAGACUCCUACGGGAGGCAGCAGUAGGGAAUCUUCCGCAAUGGGCGAAAGCCUGACGCAGCAACGCCGCGUGAGUGAUGAAGGUCUUCGGAUCGUAAAACUCUGUUAUUAGGGAAGAACAAAUGUGUAAGUAACUAUGCACGUCUUGACGGUACCUAAUCAGAAAGCCACGGCUAACUACGUG